GCUUACGCCAUACCACCCUGAACACGCCCGAUCUCGUCUGAUCUCGGAAGCUAAGCAGGGUCGGGCCUGGUCAGUACUUGGAUGGGAGACCGCCUGGGAAUACCAGGUGCUGUAAGCU
rnacentral:rRNA from 1 species